rnacentral:rRNA from 1 species
UACGUAGGGUGCAAGCGUUGUCCGGAAUUAUUGGGCGUAAAGAGCUCGUAGGCGGCUUGUCACGUCGACUGUGAAAACCCGGGGCUCAACUCCGGGCCUGCAGUCGAUACGGGCUGGCUUGAGUGCGGUAGGGGAGACUGGAAUUCCUGGUGUAGCGGCGAAAUGCGCAGAUAUCAGGAGGAACACCGGUGGCGAAGGCGGGUCUCUGGGCCGAUACUGACGCUGAGGCGCGAAAGCCAGGGGAGCAAACGGG